GUAACCGUGACGAGCAGCAUAUAAUGCAGUCGACGAACUUCCGUUAAUUGAUUAUGACGUACUUGUACUGAUUGAGAUUUUAACACGAAGUGAGUGGCGAACGGGUGAGUAACACGUGGGUAACCUGCCCAGAAGUAGGGGAUAACACCUGGAAACAGAUGCUAAUACCGUAUAACAGAGAAAACCGCAUGGUUUUCUUUUAAAAGAUGGCUCUGCUAUCACUUCUGGAUGGACCCGCGGCGUAUUAGCUAGUUGGUGAGGUAAAGGCUCACCAAGGCAGUGAUACGUAGCCGACCUGAGAGGGUAAUCGGCCACAUUGGGACUGAGACACGGCCCAGACUCCUACGGGAGGCAGCAGUAGGGAAUCUUCCACAAUGGACGCAAGUCUGAUGGAGCAACGCCGCGUGAGUGAAGAAGGGUUUCGGCUCGUAAAGCUCUGUUGUUAAAGAAGAACGUGGGUAAGAGUAACUGUUUACCCAGUGACGGUAUUUAACCAGAAAGCCACGGCUAACUACGUGCCAGCAGCCGCGGUAAUACGUAGGUGGCAAGCGUUAUCCGGAUUUAUUGGGCGUAAAGCGAGCGCAGGCGGUCUUUUAAGUCUAAUGUGAAAGCCUUCGGCUCAACCGAAGAAGUGCAUUGGAAACUGGGAGACUUGAGUGCAGAAGAGGACAGUGGAACUCCAUGUGUAGCGGUGAAAUGCGUAGAUAUAUGGAAGAACACCAGUGGCGAAGGCGGCUGUCUGGUCUGCAACUGACGCUGAGGCUCGAAAGCAUGGGUAGCGAACAGGAUUAGAUACCCUGGUAGUCCAUGCCGUAAACGAUGAUUACUAGGUGUUGGAGGGUUUCCGCCCUUCAGUGCUGCAGCUAACGCAUUAAGUAAUCCGCCUGGGGAGUACGACGCAAAGUUGAAACUCAAAGAAUUGACGGGGGCCCCGCACAGGCGGUGGAAGCAU
rnacentral:rRNA from 1 species